rnacentral:lncRNA from 1 species
UGCUCUUCCGAUCUAUAAGUUUGGAAAACAAAUGAAAUUCUGAAUUACUAGAUAAAAUUGAAUCCAGGAUAAGAUCAAUAACAAGCUUAUCUAGUAAUUCAGAAUUUCAUUUGUUUUCCAAACUUAUAUACCUCAUGUAUCCUGUUACAGAUGAUUAAUUAUAUAUAUCUCCAGCUUUGUCUCUAACAGAUGGCACUAUUUUUCAAAGUGGAUAAAUUAAAACCCUGCCAUAGUCUGCUUACAUCAGAAUGGCAAUUCACAGCACUGGCUCACACUACCAAAUCCUUUCAAAGAGUUAGAACUUGGAUGGCAUGCUACAGUGUUUCCGUUCACCAUAUUGAAUCUGCCAGCAAAUUCAAUAUCUGUAACCGAUUUUUAAUGUUAGUUCUGUUUUGAUUAAAAAUCAGUAUAAUUUGAGGGCCAAUAUGUGAAAGGAUAUUUUUCUCAACACGAAAUACACAAAUGAUCGAGAAAUUAUUUUAUAGCUUCUCUUUUCUAUGGAAUUCAGAUUGCCAUAUUUUUUUAAAUGAAUUAA